rnacentral:tRNA from 1 species
GGAGAGAUGCCGGAGCGGAUAAACGGGACAGUUUCGAAAACUGUUAGGAAAUAAAAAUUUUCUUCAAGGGUUCGAAUCCCUUUCUCUCCU